AUUGAAUCACUUCUUCCUUAGAAUCCACCUCUUUUGCCCCUAGCUCUCUGUAUCGUCCUGACCCAGAGUUAGUCAUCUGUCCAUCACUUUUUCAACCACCCUGGAAUGUCCCUGCUGCAAAUCUGGGAGGGUUAACCUAGCUCUUACCCCAGCCUACUAGCUAACCAAAGGAGACAGCCGCUAAGAUUCAGAGCCCUCCCUCCUGCAAAGCUGGCUAGCCAAUAGGCACCUGGAGGGAGUAUGCCCACUGAUCCUAUUGGUUGACAACCUCCGUGCAUAAGGAAGAGAGAGGGAGGCAGGCCGGGCAGCAUUGUUAUCUUAAGACACUCAUCUGGUCCCUGAGUCUGCAGGUGACACUGCCUAGGUACGUAGUACUGAGCCUGAGUAUGGAAGCACAGGGCUACAGGCAGCCUUGGAAUCAGAUUGCCGAGAAGAACCAGCUCCUCCUUUAGGCGGCCUCAAGCCGGAGGGGACCUCUCUACUAGUUACCCACCUAUGUGGGUGCACCUGCUGUGUGUAGAGAAGGCAGGAACAAAUCAGCUAGCAGCAUGAUCUCUGCUGAAGCCUGUGGACUUGCCUUUCCCCGAGUGAAAAGCACUGAUUUGGAGGCGAGGGAGUAAGAGUCUUUUUAGAGUUGGAAAAGAAGACAAGAUUCUAGAUUACUCCUCUGCAGAGGGACCUGGGACUCCCUAAGGGGUUGCUUCCUUACUGUCCUUGCUGUUCUCGGUCUGUCUUCACCCUCGGGAUCCAGUCUAGAAACACCCCUUAACCAUGCUUCGGGUUACCGGAGUUCUUGGUGUUCGACUGGAAGAGAGCAGGCGAGAGCUCCAGCAGCGCUAGCAGCGAAGGGAGGAGAGAAUUUGGAAAGGGGUAGCCCUGCUCUCUCACAGUCUGAGAGAAAGACAUUCGCAUUCCCUCCAAAUAUGGGGAGGUGGGGGGGAAGCACGUGAAAUCAUGAAAUAAAAACUUUGGAAAGCUGCCACCGGAGAUGUGGUCGGAGCUGAAAAAACCCUGGAAUCUGUUAGGAAUCUCCUCCCAGACGCUCUGGGAUUUGGGAGCAGCUGAUACAGCAAGGAAGACUCUUGCAAGGAUUCAAGGAUCCAAGGCUGUGACCCUUGGAGAUAUCUACCCUUAUUGGAAAUCAUGGCCAUCAUUUCUCCCUCCCCUUUUAAAAUGUACAUUUUCUCUUUUUUAUUCAUUUUUCUUAUGAGGAUUUUAAAAACAAUUCAAUGUUGGUGGUACAGAGGAAGAGAGAAAUAAUAAAUAUUUAUAUCAAAAAACA
rnacentral:lncRNA from 1 species